GGGCACAUGGUGGAUGCCUUGGCAUCAAGAGCCGAUGAAGGACGUUGGAGCCUGCGAUAAGCCCUGGGGAGUUGGCAACCGAGCGUUGAUCCGGGGGUGUCCGAAUGGGGAAACCCAGCACGAGUCAUGUCGUGUUACCUGCGCCUGAAUCUAUAGGGCGUUUGGAGGGAACGCGGGGAAGUGAAACAUCUCAGUACCCGUAGGAAGAGAAAACAAUAGUGAUUCCGAGAGUAGUGGCGAGCGAAAUCGGAUGAGGCUAAACCAACUGCGUGUGAUAGACGGCAGUCGUUGCGUAGUUGGGGUUGUGGGAUAUGUCUGUCAUCGUCUGCCGGCGGUGAGCUCAGUAAGAAACCAAGCAUGAAGGUGAACCAGUUGGGAAGCUGGGCCGUAGCGGGUGAUAGCCCCGUAAUCGUAUGUGUUUGGCUGGGUUGAUGUACUCCCAAGUAGGACGGCACUCGUGGAAUGUCGUGUGAAUCUGGCGGGACCACCCGCUAAGCCUAAAUACUUCUUGAUGACCGAUAGCGGACCAGUACCGUGAGGGAAAGGUGAAAAGUACCCCUGGCGGGGAGUGAAAUAGUACCUGAAACCGUGUGCCUACAAUCCGUCAGAGCCCGGCCGGCUGUUUACAGCAGUGGGGGUGAUGGCGUGCCUUUUGAAGAAUGAGCCUGCGAGUUAGCGGUGUGUGGCAAGGUUAACCCGUGUGGGGUAGCCGUAGCGAAAGCGAGUCCUAAUAGGGCGAUUGAGUCGCGCGCUCUAGACCCGAAGCGAAGUGAUCUAGCCAUGGGCAGGUUGAAGCGCCGGUAAGACGGCGUGGAGGACCGAACCCACUUCAGUUGAAAAUGGAGGGGAUGACCUGUGGUUAGGGGUGAAAGGCCAAUCAAACUUCGUGAUAGCUGGUUCUCCCCGAAAUGCAUUUAGGUGCAGCGUUGUGUGUUUCUUGCCGGAGGUAGAGCACUGGAUAGCCGAUGGGCCCGACCAGGUUACUGACGUUAGCCAAACUCCGAAUGCCGGUAAGUGAGAGCGCAGCAGUGAGACAGUGGGGGAUAAGCUCCAUUGUCGAGAGGGAAACAGCCCAGACCAUCAGCUAAGGCCCCUAAGCGGUAACUAAGUGGAAAAGGAUGUGGAGUCGCAGUGACAACCAGGAGGUUGGCUUGGAAGCAGCCACCCUUGAAAGAGUGCGUAAUAGCUCACUGGUCAAGUGAUUCCGCGCCGACAAUGUAGCGGGGCUCAAGUUAUCCGCCGAAGCUAUGGCACUCCGGUUUUCCGGGGUGGGUAGGGGAGCGUCGUGUAUCGGGUGAAGCAGCGGAGUGAUCCAGCGGUGGACGGUACGCGAGUGAGAAUGCAGGCAUGAGUAGCGAAUGAUGUGUGAGAAACACAUC
rnacentral:ncRNA from 1 species